GACGGUACCUGAAGAAAAAGCAUCGGCUAACUCCGUGCCAGCAGCCGCGGUAAUACGGAGGAUGCAAGCGUUAUCCGGAAUCAUUGGGCGUAAAGGGUCCGCAGGUGGCCAAUCAAGUCGGCUGUUAAAGACCGGGGCUUAACUCCGGGCAGGCAGUGGAAACUGAUUAGCUAGAGUACGGUAGGGGUAGAGGGAAUUCCCAGUGUAGCGGUGAAAUGCGUAGAUAUUGGGAAGAACACCGGUGGCGAAAGCGCUCUACUAGGCCGAAACUGACACUGAGGGACGAAAGCUAGGGUAGCGAAAGGGAUUAGAUACCCCUGUAGUCUUAGCUGUAAACGAUGGAUACUAGGUGUAGCUCGUAUCGACCCCAGCUGUGCCAAAGUUAACGCGAUAAGUAUCCCGCCUGGGGAGUACGCACGCAAGUGUGAAACUCAAAGGAAUUGACGGGGGCCCGCACAAGCGGUGGAGUAUGUGGUUUAAUUCGAUGCAACGCGAAGAACCUUACCAGGGCUUGACAUGUCGCGAAUCUAGCGGAAACGUUAGAGUGCCUUAGGGAAUGCGAACACAGGUGGUGCAUGGCUGUCGUCAGCUCGUGUCGUGAGAUGUUGGGUUAAGUCCCGCAACGAGCGCAACCCUCGUCCUUAGUUGCCAAUAUUAAGUUAGGCACUCUAGGGAUACUGCCGGGGACAACUCGGAGGAAGGUGGGGAUGACGUCAAGUCAGCAUGCCCCUUACGUCCUGGGCGACACACGUACUACAAUGGUUGGGACAAAGGGCAGCAAGCUCGCGAGAGUAAGCGAAUCUCAUCAAACCCAGCCACAGUUCAGAUUGCAGGCUGCAACUCGCCUGCAUGAAGUAGGAAUCGCUAGUAAUCGCAGGUCAGCAUACUGCGGUGAAUUCGUUCCCGGGCCUUGUACACACCGCCCGUCACACCAUGGAAGCUGGCUACGCCCGAAGUCGUUACCCUAACCCUAAGGGGAGGGGGAUGCCGAAGGUAGAGCUAGUGACUGGGGUGAAGUCGUAACAAGGUAGCCGUACCUGAAGGUGUGGCUGGAUCACCUCCUUU
rnacentral:rRNA from 1 species